GACAGAGGUCCCAAGCGUUAGGCGGAAUCAUUGGGCGUAAAGAGCGUGUAGGCGGCCCGGUAAGUCCGCUGUGAAAGUCCAGGGCUCAACCCUGGAAUGCCGGUGGAAACUGUCGGGCUAGAGUCCGGAAGAGGCGAGUGGAAUUCCUGGUGUAGCGGUGAAAUGCGUAGAUAUCUGGAAGAACACCGGUGGCGAAGGCGGUCAACUGGCCCUGAACUGACGCUCAGGCACGAAAGCGUGGGGAUCAAACAGG
rnacentral:rRNA from 1 species